rnacentral:rRNA from 1 species
UACGUAGGGUGCAAGCGUUGUCCGGAAUUAUUGGGCGUAAAGAGCUCGUAGGCGGUCUGUCGCGUCGGCUGUGAAAACCUGGGGCUUAACUCCGGGCCUGCAGCCGAUACGGGCAGACUAGAGUUCGGCAGGGGAGACUGGAAUUCCUGGUGUAGCGGUGAAAUGCGCAGAUAUCAGGAGGAACACCGAUGGCGAAGGCAGAUCUCUGGGCCGUAACUGACGCUGAGGAGCGAAAGCAUGGGGAGCGAACAGG